rnacentral:rRNA from 1 species
GGUGGAUGCCUUGGCACUAGGAGCCGAAGAAGGACGUUGUAGCCUGCGAUAAGCCUCGGGGAGUUGGCAAACGAACCGUGAUCCGAGGAUGUCCGAAUGGGGAAACCCCGCUGGAGUCAUGUCCAGUGACCCGCACCUGAAUAUAUAGGGUGUGUGGAGGGAACGCCGGGAAGUGAAACAUCUCAGUACCGGCAGGAAGAGAUAUUCCGUGAGUAGUGGCGAGCGAAAGCGGAUGAGGCUAAACCAUGUGCGUGUGAUAGCCGGCGUGCGUUGCGUAUGUGGGGUUGUGGGAGCAUUCAGACACUAAUGCCGUGGUGUCAGGGAGUUAUAAAUCAUUGUUGAAGCUGAACCGGUUGGAAUGCCGGGCCGUAGUGGGUAAUGGCCCCGUAGGCGUAAGACAGUGACUUCCGAGUGUUUUCCCGAGUAGCACGGAACUCUUGAAAUUCCGUGUGAAUCUGGCGGGACCACCCGCUAAGCCUAAAUACUUCUUGGUGACCGAUAGCGGACUAGUACCGUGAGGGAAAGAUGGAAAGUACCCCG